UACGAAGGGGGCUAGCGUUGCUCGGAAUUACUGGGCGUAAAGCGCACGUAGGCGGUCUUUUAAGUCGGGGGUGAAAUCCUGGAGCUCAACUCCAGAACUGCCUUCGAUACUGGAAGACGUUGAGUCCGGGAGAGGUGAGUGGAACUGCGAAGUGUAGAGGUGAAAUUCGUAGAUAUUCGCGAAAGAACGACCAGUGGCGGAACGGCGGCUC
rnacentral:rRNA from 1 species